AUUGAACGCUGGCGGCAGGCCUAACACAUGCAAGUCGAGCGGAUGAAGGGAGCUUGCUCCUGGAUUCAGCGGCGGACGGGUGAGUAAUGCCUAGGAAUCUGCCUGGUAGUGGGGGAUAACGUCCGGAAACGGGCGCUAAUACCGCAUACGUCCUGAGGGAGAAAGUGGGGGAUCUUCGGACCUCACGCUAUCAGAUGAGCCUAGGUCGGAUUAGCUAGUUGGUGGGGUAAAGGCCUACCAAGGCGACGAUCCGUAACUGGUCUGAGAGGAUGAUCAGUCACAGUGAAAGAGAGCAAGGGACAAGACCCCGAGGGGAGGAACCGGGGGGAAUUUUUGGAAAAGGGGCAAAAGUUUGAACCAGCCAGGCGGGGUGGGGGAAGAAGGUCUUGGAAUUUAAAACCUUUUUAAGUUGGGAGGAAGGAAAGUAAGUUAAUACUUUCUUUUUUUGACGUUACCAAAAAAAAAAACCCGGGCUAACUUGGUC
rnacentral:rRNA from 1 species